rnacentral:rRNA from 1 species
GUCUACAGCCAUGGCACCCCGAGCAAGCCCGAUGUCUGAUCUUGGAAGCUAAUCAGGGGCGGGCCUAGUUUGUACUUGGAUGGGAGACCACCUAGGAAGAGCAGAUGCUGUAAGCA